UAUUCAUCAAACUUCACCAGUUGGUUAAGAGAUUAUUUCACUUCUGAAACAUUAUGGAAAUGAAUACACACCAAAGUGAUCACUUCUCUGGACAGCAGCCCUGGUUUUUGACUGAAGCAUUUCGCUACGUUUUGUUUGUGGUGUGGAUCGUUGAUAUUAUAAUGAUAUUUGUGGUCACACAUUUGAUCCACGAAACAAAUGAAAUUUACGAGAAAACCGUGGAAGCUGGAUGGCUCAUAAGAGAUCCAGAAACAGGCUCGCCGAAGACCCCGCGAAGGAAACAACAA